rfam:Felis catus breed Abyssinian Contig270439.1, whole genome shotgun sequence. [26-MAY-2016]
GCCUGGGUGGCUCAGUUGGUUGAGUGACUGACUUCAGCUCAGGUCAUGAUCUCACGGUUCGUGAGUUCGAGCCCCACAUCAGGCU